rnacentral:rRNA from 1 species
UACGGAGGAUGCAAGCGUUAUCCGGAAUGAUUGGGCGUAAAGGGUCCGCAGGUGGCAAUGUAAGUCUGCUGUCAAAGAAAUGAGGCUUAACCUCAUCAAGGCAGUGGAAACUACAUAGCUAGAGUACGGUCGGGGUAGAAGGAAUUCCUGGUGUAGCGGUGAAAUGCGUAGAGAUCAGCAGGAACACCCGUGGCGAAGGCGGCCCCCUGGGCCGUACCUGACGCUGAGGCGGCGAAGGCUGAGGGGAGCGAACGGGG